rnacentral:rRNA from 1 species
UCGGUAAGGUGAUAUGAACCGUUAUAACCGGCGAUUUCCGAAUGGGGAAACCCAGUGUGAUUCGUCACACUAUCAUUAACUGAAUCCAUAGGUUAAUGAGGCGAACCGGGGGAACUGAAACAUCUAAGUACCCCGAGGAAAAGAAAUCAACCGAGAUUCCCCCAGUAGCGGCGAGCGAACGGGGAGGAGCCCAGAGCCUGAAUCAGUGUGUGUGUUAGUGGAAGCGUCUGGAAAGGCGCGCGAUACAGGGUGACAGCCCCGUACACAAAAAUGCACAUGCUGUGAGCUCGAUGAGUAGGGCGGGACACGUGGUAUCCUGUCUGAAUAUGGGGGGACCAUCCUCCAAGGCUAAAUACUCCUGACUGACCGAUAGUGAACCAGUACCGUGAGGGAAAGGCGAAAAGAACCCCGGCGAGGGGAGUGAAAAAGAACCUGAAACCGUGUACGUACAAGCAGUGGGAGCCUCUUUAUGGGGUGACUGCGUACCUUUUGUAUAAUGGGUCAGCGACUUAUAUUCUGUAGCAAGGUUAACCGAAUAGGGGAGCCGAAGGGAAACCGAGUCUUAACUGGGCGUUAAGUUGCAGGGUAUAGACCCGAAACCCGGUGAUCUAGCCAUGGGCAGGUUGAAGGUUGGGUAACACUAACUGGAGGACCGAACCGACUAAUGUUGAAAAAUUAGCGGAUGACUUGUGGCUGGGGGUGAAAGGCCAAUCAAACCGGGAGAUAGCUGGUUCUCCCCGAAAGCU